CAGAGGGUGCGAGCGUUGUCCGGAAUCACUGGGCGUAAAGGGCGCGUAGGCGGCUUUGCAAGCGUGCGGUGAAAGCUCGGGGCUUAACUCCGAGUCUGCCGUGCGAACUGUGAGGCUUGAGUCUGGUAGAGGUCGAUGGAAUUCCGGGUGUAGCGGUGGAAUGCGUAGAGAUCCGGAAGAACACCGGUGGCGAAGGCGGUCGACUGGGCCAGUACUGACGCUGAGGCGCGACAGCGUGGGGAGCAAACAGGAUUAGAUACCCUGGUAGUCCACGCCGUAAACGAUGGGCACUAGGUCCUUGGGGGAGCGACCCCUUGAGGGCCGGCGCUAACGCAUUAAGUGCCCCGCCUGGGGAGUACGGCCGCAAGGCUG
rnacentral:rRNA from 1 species